rnacentral:rRNA from 1 species
UACGUAGGGAGCAAGCGUUGUUCGGAUUUACUGGGCGUAAAGGGCGCGUAGGCGGCCUGUCAAGUCAACUGUGAAAUCUCCGGGCUUAACUCGGAACGGUCAGUUGAUACUGUCAGGCUAGAGUGCAGAAAGGGCAAUCGGAAUUCUUGGUGUAGCGGUGAAAUGCGUAGAUAUCGAGAGGAACACCUGCGGCGAAGGCGGGUUGCUGGGCUGACACUGAAAAGCGAAAGCCAGGGGAGCAAACGGG